UACGUAGGGGUCGAGCGUUGUUCGGAAUUACUGGGCGUAAAGCGCACGUAGGCGGCUUUGUAAGUUAGAGGUGAAAGCCUGGAGCUCAACUCCAGAAUUGCCUUUAAGACUGCAUCGCUUGAAUCCAGGAGAGGGGAGUGGAAUUCCGAGUGUAGAGGUGAAAUUCGUAGAUAUCCGGAAGAACACCAGUGGCGAAGGCGGCUCACUGGCCUGGUAUUGACGCUGAGGUGCGAAAGCGUGGGGAGCAAACAGG
rnacentral:rRNA from 1 species